AUGUCUGGGAAACUGCCUGAUGGAGGGGGAUAACUACUGGAAACGGUAGCUAAUACCGCAUAACGUCGCAAGACCAAAGUGGGGGACCUUCGGGCCUCAUGCCAUCAGAUGUGCCCAGAUGGGAUUAGCUAGUAGGUGGGGUAACGGCUCACCUAGGCGACGAUCCCUAGCUGGUCUGAGAGGAUGACCAGCCACACUGGAACUGAGACACGGUCCAGACUCCUACGGGAGGCAGCAGUGGGGAAUAUUGCACAAUGGGCGCAAGCCUGAUGCAGCCAUGCCGCGUGUGUGAAGAAGGCCUUCGGGUUGUAAAGCACUUUCAGCGGGGAGGAAGGCGRURAGGUUAAUAACCUYGUCGAUUGACGUUWCCCGCAGAAGAAGCACCGGCUAACUCYGUGCYAGCAGCCGCGGUAAUACGGAGGGUGCAAGCGUUAAUCGGAAUUACUGGGCGUAAAGCGCACGCAGGCGGUCUGUCAAGUCGGAUGUGAAAUCCCCGGGCUCAACCUGGGAACUGCAUUCGAAACUGGCAGGCUAGAGUCUUGUAGAGGGGGGUAGAUUUCCAGG
rnacentral:rRNA from 1 species